rnacentral:misc_RNA from 1 species
CAGAGUUUACAACUCCCAAACCCACAUGUGAACAUACCUACUGUUGCUUCGGCGUGCUCGCCCCGGCGUCCGGCUGGCCUCGUGCUGGUCGCGGCCCGGAACCAGGUGGCCGCCGGAGAAAACCAAAAAACUCUUUGUAUUAUCAGCUUCUUCUGAAUCCGCCGCAAGGCAAAACAAAUGAAUC